AUGCUUUUGCACUUUAUAACAUAUCUGCAAAAAGUCAAACACAGUUCGAGGCAAAAGAGUAAAGACAAGUCAAAUAAAAAUAAGGCACUUAUUGAUGAAAACACCUUAAGAUUACACUUGAAAUAUGGUUCGUAGUGUUUCUUUGCUUUUGCACUUUGUGACACAUUAGUCUUUGAAAACCUAUAAAUUUCAGACAGUCGACCUCAAAGAAAGAAGAAAGCACUCAAAAAACAUGAUGUAGAACAUUGAUGCCAAGCAUUAUCACCACCGGUGUUUAUAUAGAAUGAGACAUUCGAAAAUUGCUCCAAAAACAUAGUGAAAAUUGUAAAACCCG
rnacentral:lncRNA from 1 species